AUGGAGAACAGUGGGAAGAUCGUCAUGGGGAGGUAUGAGCUGGGGAGAUUGUUAGGGAAAGGAGCAUUUGGCAAGGUGCACUACGCCAAGAACCUGGAGUCAAACCGAGGUGUCGCCAUAAAGAUUUUGGACAAGGAGAAGGUGCUCAAGGUUGGGCUCGCGGAGCAGGUCAGGCGUGAGAUCACAACCAUGCGGUUGGUAACGCACAAAAGCAUUGUUCAGCUCCAUGAGGUCAUGGCGACACGAAGCAAGAUCUACUUCGUCAUGGAGUACAUGAAAGGCGGUGAGCUCUUUGACAAGGUUUCCAAGGCUGGCAAGCUCACCGAGGGUGCUGCACACAAGUAUUUCCAGCAGCUCAUCAGUGCAGUGGAUUACUGCCACAGCCGAGGCGUGUAUCACCGGGACUUGAAGCCUGAGAACCUACUCCUUGAUGGGAAUGAAAACCUGAAGGUUUCUGAUUUUGGGCUGAGUGCACUUUCAGAAUCGAAGAGGCAAGAUGGCUUGCUCCACACCACCUGUGGAUCGCCUGCAUAUGUGGCUCCAGAGGUGAUCAGCAAGGGAGGCUAUGAUGGUGCAAAAUCAGAUAUCUGGUCUUGCGGUGUCAUCCUGUUUGUUCUUGUUGCUGGUUACCUCCCUUUCCAAGGUCAGAACUUGAUAGAGAUGUACCGGAAGAUUGAGAAAGGCGAUUUCAGGUGCCCCGGUUGGGUUUCCCAAAAACUUCAGAAGCUGUUGUACAAGAUCAUGGACCCUGAUCCGAACAAGAGGAUAUCGAUCCAGAAGAUAAAGGAGUCAACCUGGUUCCGGAAAGGUCCCGGGGAGAACCUUACAGCGAAGGAGAGACUGCCAAGUGAUGCUGCUCCAACACUUGGUGUGAAGCGCAGGAAGAACAGCCAUGAAGAUGCGAAGCCCUUGGCGGUGACAAAUUUAAAUGCCUUUGAAAUCAUCUCUUUCUCCACAGGGUUUGACCUCUCUGGCCUAUUCGUCGAGAAGGAGAGCAAAAAGGAAGCAAGGUUCGCUUCAGAACAGCCUGCCUCAGCCAUUGUCUCAAAGCUGGAAGCCGUCGCAAAGACCCUGAAUCUCAGGGUGAGGAAGAAGGAUAAUGGUGUCGUCAAGAUGCAAGUGAGGAAGGAAGGCAGGAAUGGUGUUCUUCAGUUUGACUCGGAGAUCUUUGAGAUCAGCCCCUCGUACCAUCUCAUUGAGAUGAAACAAACAAGCGGUGAUUCACUGGAGUACCAGAAGUUAUUGGAGGAGGGCAUCCGGCCAGCACUGAAGGACAUUUGUCUGGGCAUGGCAUGGGGCUGA
rnacentral:rRNA from 1 species